UACGGAGGGUGCGAGCGUUGUCCGGAAUCAUUGGGCGUAAAGGGCGCGUAGGUGGCCUGCUAAGCGUGCGGUGAAAGCUCGGGGCUCAACCCCGAGUCGGCCGUGCGAACUGGUGGGCUUGAGCACUGUAGAGGCAGGCGGAAUUCCGGGUGUAGCGGUGGAAUGCGUAGAGAUCCGGAAGAACACCGGUGGCGAAGGCGGCUCGCUGGGCCGGUCCUGACACUGAGACGCGAAGGCGUGGGGAGCGAACGGG
rnacentral:rRNA from 1 species